rnacentral:rRNA from 1 species
CACUCCUGCGGGAGGCAGCAGUGGGGAAUUUUGGACAAUGGGCGAAAGCCUGAUCCAGCAAUGCCGCGUGAGUGAAGAAGGCCUUCGGGUUGUAAAGCUCUUUUGUCAGGGAAGAAACGGUGAAAGCUAAUAUCUUUUGCUAAUGACGGUACCUGAAGAAUAAGCACCGGCUAACUACGUGCCAGCAGCCGCGGUAAUACGUAGGGUGCAAGCGUUAAUCGGAAUUACUGGGCGUAAAGCGUGCGCAGGCGGUUUUGUAAGUCUGAUGUGAAAUCCCCGGGCUCAACCUGGGAAUUGCAUUGGAGACUGCAAGGCUAGAAUCUGGCAGAGGGGGGUAGAAUUCCACGUGUAGCAGUGAAAUGCGUAGAUAUGUGGAGGAACACCGAUGGCGAAGGCAGCCCCCUGGGUCAAGAUUGACGCUCAUGCACGAAAGCGUGGGGAGCAAACAGGAUUAGAUACCCCGGUAGUCCCA